GUGCGCGCGUUUUGACGAUGCAACCGCAGCCGCGCCUUCCUCCAGCCGACCGCUGCCAAACAAAGUGACGCGGCCCAGAUUGGGAGCCGCCUGGGCUGCGACGCACCUUCCGUCAGGAGGAGACAGGCACGCAAAUAAAAAAUGAAAGAUAGCGGUUAGACAGAAAGCGGCGAGAGGGGCGCGGCGGUGCGGGUUUGGAGGAUAAAGAGGACUCCGGAGAUAACUAAAGCGCGUGAGAGACAGGUGCAAUAUAGAAGAAAAGACCACGGGGGGGGGGGGACGCUAGAAUGAGGGAGAUCUGAGAAAACGAAAGGCAGAGAUAAGGCAUUGGACAGCUUUUUAUUCUCAUAAAUAUGACUGCAAUCUCCUGGGAGGCCUCACGUGUCUCUAAAAGGACAAUCAGGGAGACAAGCGGCAAUAAAGCAGUGAAAUCGCUUCGUUCUGCUCGCGCUUAUUUUCCUGUCGGUGCGACAGGUUGCACGAGUACGUAGGGUUGCCGCCUUCAAUGCGGAGGGACGGUACGGCCAACGGGGGCGCUAUUCUAUCCUCAAACACGGGACCAUUCCGUAUUUUAAGGGACGGGUGGCAGCCAUGGCUGUGCGUUGAUAUAUAAGUGUGUGGGAGUCAAAGCAUCCAAACAUACUUAGUUAAUAAAAAAGACAAACAACGUAAUUGCACCUCCUGUGUGAAAAUAUGAAAUAAUGUGUCGACAAUGUACAAUAAAAAAUGAUUUGUGCUCAAUAUGAAUGAAAAUAAAUGCUAAUGUCAACUAGAUCAUGAUCUCUAACAGAAAUAUAAAAUAGUCAACUCUGUUUCUAAACCAGCUUUUAGCAUUUAGACCUUUUAGGGAAUAGGGAAGUUAAACCUUUAAGAGCACAACUGACAUUCUCACCUUUUAAAGGUGCAUAAUACAAGUUGUGAGCAUUUCACGGCAGCUAACGGCGCUAACGUGCUAGCAGAGACUGUGUGGCUCGUGUGUUUCACCAGACCACUCCAUGCUGGAGGAAAACGUCCCCCGUGAACCUUCAACAAGUAGUUAAGGUAAUGAAGCCACGUUCUUUUCUCUCCGGGCUCGCUGAACAUAACAUUUCGGUCACAUUUCAGGGAUCUCCACCUCGAAGACUUAAUUCUCCGGGAACUCAUCUCGACUUUAGCUGCACGGCAGCGUAUGUCCACGUUGGAAGAAGACGGAAAAAAACCUCCCGAGCCUGUUACAGUUUCCAGGUCAGCGACAUUAACCUUUAGCACAUCCUCCGUCUGCGAGUUGUCUCCUCCUCUGCAAUUAAAAGAUGAGCUUCUGCAAGCCGAGAUAAAAUAGACACUUACAGAGAGAACAAGACUUCCACCCAUUGGCCGACUGCAGGGCUGCACGUGUGUAGAUGUUUGAGGUCAAUCACAUUUUGUACAGAAGACGGCGAGGUGCAGAGCAGCCUGGAAUUUCAGUUUGCAGUCAGGUUCAUCCACUCAUAUCGCCAGUCACAUGACUUUGGACCUCGAGGUCGAUGUUCCAGCCCGCUGUUUUUUUGCGAAAGUGACUCGUUCUGACGUCGUGGGUUUUGCAAGUGACAAGCGGUGGAGAAAACGUGUUGGAGAAUACGAUAUUCAUACUCUCAACUUAGUGUGAGAGCUCUUAGACUUGUUUCUUAAUGAAAAAGCCUUACAGAGCUUUGCUUUUCCCUUUCCUGCCUUUGAUGGCUUGUUUACGCCCAUGAACCAUAGAACAAACCCUCCCAAACCAUAAGAGAACCAUGCAGGACUUGUGCUUCGGGGUGGAUUUUCCUUUGAAUGUGUCACAUUAGGAGCGAUCGUCUUCUCCCUCAGACCCACCGAUACCGAGUGCAAAAACAUCCCAAACUCCAGAAGCAAUAAAUAAUGUUUGCAGCUAAAAAUUCGCCCCUCAAAAACACUUAACAUGUCCUAUGAUCAAUAAAACAUCAAGCAGCCAUCGCAGCGUCUUUGAUCUGAGGCAUUUCAUCUGUGUUCUAAAUAUGCCGCACGCUCCAAUAUUCCCCAAAGGGGAGAAUUGUGCGUUGGCGUGUGCGCGUAGUCUGUAUUUGCGCUGUUGUGGACUGACGGGGUCACCCCGGGCGGUGUGUGUUUGCACCAUCGCGCGCCGGGGAGGGUGAACUUGGGGGGAAAGGAGGCCGGCGGGGGGGGGGGGCGAACCUGUGUGAAAUGCAUGUGCAGUGCUGCUGCACCAAAAGAGCCCCGGGACGGUUAGAUUACGCCGGAGCAGCGGGGGGCGGGCGGCGGGCGGGUGAGGGGGGUGAGGAAAACAAGACGGAUGAGAGAACGACCCCGAGCCAGGAGAGGUGAAUCCGCCUUUGAGAGGAGGGAAGCGACCCCUCGGGACGCCCACAAGCAAAGCCGGGCCCCCCCCCCCGUAAGUAGGGAUCGAAAGGCCGCGUGUCAAACAGCUCGAGCCGCCUAACAAGCCGAGAUUUCUGACUCCCAUCAAUUAUUCAACUGAGCAAAUGGAGCCAAAGAAUGAAGCUCUUAACUUUUCCGCUGGCUCCAGCUGAGGGAAGAAUAUAGACAGAAGCAUUAAAACCGCCACUAAACCGCUCCAUGGGCGAUACUGCGGCCCACGGCUUGAGGAAGUGGGGAUUGGGCGCAAAAGUCAGCCACUUAUGAGAGAUUAACGUGAUAAAAGGUUUUUCUCUGCUGCGUUGAGAUUGAAGAGCAGAUGGGAGCAUAUCGCGGGCUAUAGUUUCAAUUUCAGUAGAAAUGGUCAAAUAUUGCAUAUAAUAUGCAACUUGAAUUUUUUUUUUGUCAAACCGUUGCAUAAAUGCACAGAUCACAACAUGAAUAGAAAAGAUUCAUUAUUUUACACGCAGAUACUUUUACUUUACAGAACGGAUUAUUUUUCUCAUUCAAAAAGCAUCCAGUGUAGAAAAAGAAAUGUAUGAAAAGGACUUUUACACGCGUUGUGAGUCUGAUUACUCAGCUCCUCAGAUGUCCACGUGCUGCGUUUGGGUGCUGGUGGGAAAUCGGGACAUCUGGGUGUUCGGUGAAAUGGAAAGUGAGGAGGAUUUUUUUUUUUUUGAAUAGGUGGUCUAAGUUGUGUAUUUAGUAGAAGGUUAUUGAAACUGUAGAUUUACAUCCUUUCAAAUAAUAUCCAACAUUUUAAACGAGCAUUGUACCCUCCGAAUGAACACGUCUAUCAUCUCGCUUCACGUUUCUUGCAAGUUCAAAAUAAAACAUGACAGAACCUGAAAAAAACAAACCAAGCUUUACUGCACGAGUUCAUUUCCCUUUGAAGAACCUGGUGUGUUAGUAUAUUUGCAUCUAUGAGAUUUGGGCUGAAAACAGCAAACAGGUGGCGGACAAAGCGAAUGGCGUCGCCUCUGAACGCGCCCGUCUGUUCGCCGCUCCCAUCUGCUCUUUAAUCUUAAACAGCAGAGGAGAAAUCUACCUCAGCGGCUCUGGACCUUCACGCUGUUGGAAAUCACAAAUGCACGACUGGCGUGCGUGAUCAUUGUGACGUCGACUGUCUUAACCAUGCUCCCUUUGUGCGAUGAAACCUUAGCACAGCAAAUUAUCUAAAAUGCAAAACGCAAAACCUCCAACAGAAGCUAUGUGGGUGCGGGUUAAACAGCCCCCAUUGAACCCUCCAGUCUGCAGUUACGUGUGUGCCUCCUACCUCCCCAUCCAUCCAUCAGAGCUGGCGUCCUCUGAUGACAGGAAGCAUUUCGGGUAAAGUUAAUUCAUGCCUCAGAGAUCCUUCUGUCUCCGAACGCUCUACUGCUCCCCAUACCGGGAGGGGGGGGCAACGCAGAGUUUAAAAGACCGUCUGUCUUGUGCUCUGUCGAGGGGCAUCGUGCAAAUGGCCGCCAGAGGGUCAGCGGGAGACACGGCAGACAGAGUGAUGUGCUUCUUAAUGUCGAGAAGGUGCCGCGUUCUCGUUAUCACACUCAUAACAGCUGCAGCCUCGUCAUCGGCAUCACUGCAUGGACUCUUUGGUGUGUAGUGUGUGUGCGUACCUGCACAUGUUUAUGCACGGUUCAUCUCGCCCAUCCGUGCAUCUGCAAAGCUCUGCGUCUUUGCGGGUGUGUGUGUGUGCGUGUGUGCAUUUGGCAUUGAAGCAAUUUCAAUGUUCUUUUCACAUAUAAAAUAUUAUAAACUAUCACAAUAGUGUAAUAAUCCAUAAGACUUAAAGAGACCUGAGCGUUAAAUACAAUAUAUUCCCAUUGAUGAACAGGAAGGAGUGAGGUGUGUGUCAAAUGUAGACGGGGUGAGGAGGCUGCGGGGUGAGGAGGCUGUGGGGUGAGGAGGCGAGGGGUGAGGAGGCUGUGGGGUGAGGAGGCGACGGGGUGAGGAGGCUGUGGGGUGAGGAGGCGAGGGGUGAGGAGGCUGUGGGGUGAGGAGGCGACGGGGUGAGGAGGCUGUGGGGUGAGGAGGCUGCGGGGUGAGGAGGCUGUGGGGUGAGGAGGCGGCGUGUUGCUCCGUCACUCUGUGUGGCCUCGUCACUCUCUGGCGUGUGCCGUGGUUUCGACGUGUCCUCUGGCUCUGCCCAUCAAUUAUUGAUGGAACCAGGUGCCAGAGAGCGACUGCUCUACACAGCACAACAUCACACACGCACACACACACACACACACACACACAGAGGUGGGCCUGGAUCUGGUGACGGCACAAACAAACCAAAUGAACCUGUAGAAUCCACCUGACACCACCUGUACAAUCUCUAAAGAUGAAACACGCCUGCUGGUGCACCACUUCUCCAGCGUGAGCAUGGAUCAGGAGCGAGGAUGCAGGCGUGAAAACCUCUUUCUCCCCAAAACGUGAAACUAGAGCUCCUUACCUGUGCACGUGGAUCUUAACAAAAGGUAGACGUUAACCUUCAGAACAGAGUCUGUGUGUAUUUCUGGAUUAAGUUCAUGAAUUACCUCAGGAGAAGGAAAUCAAACACGCGUCCUCUCUCCACAAAACACUAUUAAAGCAGCACGAAGAUUAAGUUCAUGAAGUUGAUUAAAUUCAUGUGUUACAAGGUUUCUCCUCUCCAAGGAAUGAACAUCACUCAGUUUCUUCUCUUUAACACUCAGUGACUAAAAUCCUUUGUGAACGAAUGCAUUCGCCCCAUUCAUCAAGGAUUUAUUCUCUCAAUGAAAAGAAAAAUAGUCCUGAUCAUUGAUCAUUUUAAGGGAUUCCAUUAAAAGUGACGCGGUGUAACUUUGGCCGCGAGUUUAAUGCGUUUACUUCUUCUUUUGCCUUCGUCUUUAUAUCAUUAAGAAGUAAGUCUUGGACGUCCACCGUGCACAGUGACUACGGUCGAAUUAAGCACCUUAAUCAGGUUUAGCAUAUAUUCACACAGUGAGAACACGUUUGCAUCAUGCUUACAGAAUUACCGAGGAAGGCAGCGGAUCCUAAUCCCCACCUCCGAGCAGCUGUGAGUUCCAGGAUGAUUAACACGCCGAGAAAUAGGACUAAAACAUAUUUCUGGUGCACAUUUAUGUCGUCUGUAAAAUGUUUGAAUGUGACACUGGUGAAACGGAAAGAAAGAUUUUGAUCUGCUUUUUAAAACAGGUCACGAGUCGAUUAACUGACACCAAUCUGCAAUUAAUUAUGGUGGUUACAUGAAAUCAUCGUCAUCUUAACGCAACGACAGAAGGAAGAUAAAUAAUGGAUGUAAAGAAGAAAAAAAAAGAUGCGACAAAUCAGGAGUCGAUUUGUCACAUCUCAGCUGAAGCGAGAUCAAACGUUGUCUGAGGGGCAAACGCUGCUGAUGCGACGCCCCGUGUCUUCGGCGUGGGAGUGACAGCGCCGUGGCACAUCUGAGGUUGUCACGGCUGACAUCUCGGGACGCCUCACCGAGAUCAGACACUCGGUCGUCGCCGCGUUGACCUGGAUUUGCGGCACGGCGGCGAGGGUCGUUCUCCCGUGAGGCCGCAGCAUCGAGCGAGAGGUGUCGGACGGUGAUCGUCGCGGACGCGACCGAAGCGGUCGGAGUGGCGCUGAGCUCCUCCGGACUUAAGUGGCUGUGGCGGAUCGGUAAAGCGCUUGUGGAGGCUUACGUGGAACCUUGAGCCACCUCCAGUUCCCCCCGCUCCCCGGACUGGACGCGCUGAACGCCGACCUCCCCUUUCGCUCCUCCCUUUCCUCGCCUCCAUUUUGUACCGGCGGCGUGCUCGGCGCUCGUCAUUUUCCCGCCCGAGGCCCGAUUCACUCUCCCGCAUGCAGCGUCCGUCUCGUGAGGCUUUCCUCCCCAGCAAAGCGUCCUCCACCUUCUCCGCUCUUGUCUCCUCGCCCUCCCAUCGGUCUCCAUCAGGGCCGACUGCUGCCACUUCAGACCUGUCGGUGCAUCUCUUUCCUCUUCCCCCUCCCUCUCCUAUUCCAGCACACAGUUCCCGCUGUCGCCCCCGAUCCAUCUCCCUCCUGCAGAAGAGACACUGACACCAGCAGCGGUGAUCAGUGUGUGUCUGUGUGUGUGUCUACAUGCAAGCUGAUAAUAUUGUUUAUUUCAGGGAGACAUAUUUUAUACAUUGUACAUACGGGACACGUUUUCUACAUCGUCGAUGCAUUAGAGGAAAGGUCCAGCGUCUGUGGCUAACAGAAUAAAGCAUCGUAUGUCGUACGUUCUCCACGUGAACGGAGGAAGUAGAAAGUAAACCAGAGUGCAGCGCGACAAACCUGCCAGCCACGAGGCCGCUGUUUGUUCACGUUAAACCCAAACAACCAUCUUUUGUUGAACCUUACUGGCUACUUCUAUCGACUAAACCUGAACGGAUUUUAUUUUGAAAAGACAGUGCGCCUGGGAUGAGAGGAAAUGGACACGUUGAUGCGGAAGACAUCAUGCGUUUUGCGUUUUGCUUAUAACAGCAGCUUAUAUUGGCGUUUUCAAAGCGGUGACUGAUUGAUUGGUGUCAUAUAUGUCACUCGGAUGGACAAUGAGGCAGUUAGCCAGUGCUUCCCAGCUCUCGCUCACUCCCACGUCACGAUACGAAAAUAAUGUCUGGUCUGAAUCUUUAAUGCCAGCAAGCGUUUCUCAAUCACCUCCACUUUCAGAGCGGAGGCUAGCUAGCUAGCUUAGCUUGCCAGUUUGAAGUUGGAAUACAAAGUUAUAGACGUUUCAACACGAAUAGUGUACAAAUCGGGAAAACCGGCUGCAGGGCUCUUUGUGGAGAAGCACCACGUCGAAGCCACACUCAUGCCAAAACAAAGCCGGCCCCUCAAAUGUCAGUCACCUGUUGCCGUGGGAACGCCCACCCAAAGCACUGAUUGAAGUCUACACAAAAAGAGAAAUAGAGCAGUUAUAUGCUCUUUGUUAGGUCAUCGGUAACGUCCAUAAAGCAUCAAUUGACUGUGAUGCUGCGCAUGUGAUUGUUGCUCCCCCCAAACACGACACCCAAGGGCCCACAGUUAAAAGUCUACGUCUAUAACUAUGAUGAAGAACGUUUCUGUUUUCGGGAAGCGAGAGACGGUACGCUGGAAAGUCAGUGAGAACGAUGAUUAAUAAUAAGCAAGAGAGGCCAGUGAAGAAGACAUUACCCUUGGAGACGGAUGAAAGACACCCCGUGUAGGAGGACAGAGCAGGACACGUACGCGGGGAGGAAUCGGGGAAUCUUUACGGAGCCCCAGCCUCUGCUGCUCGGAGCCCACAGUAUAAAUAAAUCAUCAUUUAAAGUCUCUUUCCCGCAGG
ensembl:lncRNA